AACAAGGCGUACCUGCGGACCUGCGGAAGGAUCAUUACAGAGUUCAUGCCCUCACGGGUAGAUCUCCCACCCUUGCGUAUUUAUACCUUUGUUGCUUUGGCAGGCCGCCUGGGCUCGCGCCUGGCCACCGGCUCCCGGGCUGGUGCGUGCCUGCCAGAGGAUCUCCAAACUCUAGUUAUCAGUGUUGUCUGAGUACUAUACAAUAGUUAAAACUUUCAACAACGGAUCUCAGAUCGGAAG
rnacentral:misc_RNA from 1 species